UCUUGGGUAGUGCAAUGGUUAGCAUAUCGGCUGGUCGUAAUACACACGCCGUUGAUCGAGUGUUCGAAUCCUCGUCCAAGAG